GGCGGACGGGUGAGCUAACACGUGGGUAACCUGCCCUUAAGUGGGGGAUAACAUUUGGAAACAGAUGCUAAUACCGCAUAAAUCCAAGAACCGCAUGGUUCUUGGCUGAAAGAUGGCGUAAGCUAUCGCUUUUGGAUGGACCCGCGGCGUAUUAGCUAGUUGGUGAGGUAACGGCUCACCAAGGCAAUGAUACGUAGCCGAACUGAGAGGUUGAUCGGCCACAUUGGGACUGAGACACGGCCCAAACUCCUACGGGAGGCAGCAGUAGGGAAUCUUCCACAAUGGACGCAAGUCUGAUGGAGCAACGCCGCGUGAGUGAAGAAGGCUUUCGGGUCGUAAAACUCUGUUGUUGGAGAAGAAUGGUCGGCAGAGUAACUGUUGUCGGCGUGACGGUAUCCAACCA
rnacentral:rRNA from 2 species